AACGAGGGGGCGGGGAGGGGUGGGAGGGCUGACAGGUGGGGCACCCGCCACCUCCCGGCCACCCUCUCCCCGCACGGGGCCCUCCACGGUGAAAUCCACGUGCUGUCUGUCGCCUUCAGCACAGGCACCUCACCUUUAAGGCCAGAGAACAAAAUCUGGAAACACUUGGCCCCCAGAUCAAACGUCCUGCCCGCGUCAGCGGUGUUUUUAGAAGUCGCUGCGGACAAGUGAGGGGGCUCCAAAUGUGACGAGCCACCCCGCUGGCGUAGGAUCACAAAUUAUGGUGAUCGGUUCUUUCACACAUUAAGAUUCGGCAAGUGUUGGAAGUAGGCCCUUGCAAAAUAGCAUACCCAAAAUUCACUUUGAGGGGAACGAUGCAUAGCGGGACCUUGAAGAGAGAGACAUUCUCCAGAAAACUGACACCAAGUUACAUGGAGAGCCUGCCAUGAUUCCCAAUCAAGAGAGACAUGCCACAGAUAUUAAGAUACCAAGAGCAAAGAUAAUCACCAGUGCAUUCAAAUAUGAGCACCAACUUUCAAAAGGCAUAAGGCCUUAAUUUACCAUCAAGCUGUUUCUCAAAAGGGCAGCUCUGUGCAGGAUAUGGAUCAGCAGCAAUGUAUUUACUUAAUGAUUAAUGUUUCCCUGGAACAACUAUUGGGGAGACCAGCUACUGCAUAAAUAAAUGUUUGCGUGAACU